CAUCUCCUUCCAAGUUCACGGGUUCUUUCAAGACUCUUCCUCUCUUAUAGGUCACAGAGGCCAAAUUACCAGAACUAUCGUCUAUGAGGUUGCAGCGACGAAUGAUGAACACCACUGGGACAGGAAGUAUUGCCAGCACCAUCAGAGAGAAACAGACAACCAUCCCCCACAUUGGGUAGCUCAGAAAUUCUUCCGAUGCCUGGAGUCAAAAGCUGUGCAACCACUGUUCUUCAGUGAUUAGACGAAGAGAUCUGAUUUAAUAUACUAAAAACAUAGAGAUGUGGUAUCAGCUGUUACAUCUGCUUAUGAAGAACUCUGUGUGCCCUUUCAACAAUCACAUAAUUACUUAUUUCAGAACUGCAAACACCACCAGCGUUGCCAGGACUGAAGUGAAAAAGUUGAUGAACGACACUAGGACAGCGUCGAAGUGGCAGUUGUUGUCUCUCUUGUUAUAACUCGAAAACGCGAUGACUCCACCAAAUCCCAAACCCAACGCAAAGAAGACCUGAGUGGCUGCCUCUCUCCAAACCUUGGGUUCCAGCAUUAUUUCAAGCUGUUUGAAAUUGAAAAGAACAGAAAUUAGUAAUAAAUUCCUAGUUCUAAGAAA